AUUGAGGCCCAGGAAUUUGCAUUUUAGAGAUACCUUCAGGGAACUCAGUCCAGAAAAUCUGAAUUAGGAUGCUCAUUGUGAUCCCAUAUGAUGUUUUGGAGUGCUUAACACUUGAGGAUAUCUUAUCAUUAGAAACUAGGAAGAAUUGGGACCCAUAUCAAGUAAUUUUUGGUGUUCACAAAGAAAGAUCGUUUUAUCUGAACAAAGUUUUCUGGCAUCAGCAACGCAAUGGGAGAACUCAAAAGAUUCUCUCCUGAGGCUUUCUGCGCCGAGAAGCAUUGCACUGCUAUAUUCCACAUUCUGCAGACUGCGAGCUCAGUUCUGAAGCAGACUGUACGAACUCUACUUGAUUUAAGUAGAAGAUACAUGUGCUGGUGUUAUUCAUGAUGAUUAUUGUUAAACUCCAAG
rnacentral:lncRNA from 1 species